UCCAUGGUGCCCGGGCACCAUUGUUGAAAUUGAGUAUAUACCCAAUUCAAAUGAGUAUGAAACUUUUUCAAUUACUUAGGUAUUAACAUUAACUACUUUACUAACUAGUUUAAAGCAAGUUUGAACUGAAUUUGAACUU
rnacentral:snRNA from 1 species